rnacentral:rRNA from 1 species
GAUCAUGGCUCAGGACGAACGCUGGCUGCGUGCUUAACACAUGCAAGUCGAGGGCAGGGAGCAAUCCCUGACCGGCGAACGGGUGCGUAACACGUGAGCGACCUACCCUGGUGUGGGGGAUAGCCGGCCCAACGGCCGGGUAAUACCGCAUACGCUCUCUGGGGGGCAUUCCCUGGAGAACAAAGCCUUCGGGCGCAUUGGGAGGGGCUCGCGGCCUAUCAGCUAGUUGGCGAGGUAACGGCUCACCAAGGCGACGACGGGUAGCUGGUCUGAGAGGAUGGCCAGCCACAUUGGGACUGAGAGACGGCCCAGACUCCUACGGGAGGCAGCAGUGGGGAAUCUUGCGCAAUGGGCGAAAGCCUGACGCAGCGACGCCGCGUGCGGGAGGACGGCCUUCGGGUCGUAAACCGCUGUUGCCCGGGACGAAUGCCCCUUUGGAGGGGAGUGACGGUACCGGGUGAGGAAGCACCGGCUAACUCCGUGCCAGCAGCCGCGGUAAUACGGAGGGUGCGAGCGUUGUCCGGAAUCACUGGGCGUAAAGGGCGCGUAGGCGGCGCGAGGAGUCGGGGGUGAAAGUCCGGGGCUCAACCCCGGAUCGGCCAUCGAUACUCUCGCGCUGGAGCACAGUAG